rnacentral:rRNA from 1 species
UGGGGGAUAUUGCACAAUGGGCGAAAGCCUGAUGCAGCGACGCCGCGUGGGGGAUGAAGGCUUUCGGGUUGUAAACCUCUUUCGCUAUCGAACAAGGCCCGCUUCGGGUGGGUUGAGGGUAGGUGGAGAAGAAGCGCCGGCUAACUACGUGCCAGCAGCCGCGGUAAUACGUAGGGCGCGAGCGUUGUCCGGCAUUAUUGGGCGUAAAGGGCUUGUAGGCGGCUUGUUGCGCCUGCUGUGAAAACGCGGGGCUUAACUUCGCGCGUGCAGGUGGUACGGGCAGGCUUGAGUGUGGUAGGGGUGACUGGAAUUCCAGGUGUAGCGGUGGAAUGCGCAGAUAUCUGGAGGAACACCGAUGGCGAAGGCAGGUAACUGGGCCAUUACUGACGCUGAGGAGCGAAAGCAUGGGUAGCGAACAGG